UGCAUCUCAGUGCCUUGUUGGGGGAUCUCUGGGGGGAAGCCUAACCUGCCUGCUCAUCUCUUCCAGUGCUGGAAGUGUCGAGAGCUGAGGGUGACGUGUCUCUGGAGACCCAGGAGGGCGACUCCCUGAGUCUGAGCUGUGAGGCUGGGAGCAGAGCCGAGGCCAUCCUGAGCUGGGCCAAGGGGCAUGAGUCCCUCAGCCCUGGCCAGGGAGGGGACGGGCACCUGGAGCUGUUGAAUCUCAGCAGAGGGGACGCUGGGGAGUAUUGGUGCUGGGCCAAGAAUUCCUACGGGUGGGCCAGCCGGGCCCUGCAUGUGCACAUGCAGUAUGGUAACUCAGCUACUGACCCACCUACCUAUGCAUCCAUCUACCCACCUACCCAUAUACCUACCUACCAAUC
rnacentral:lncRNA from 1 species